UUUCAGAUUUAGAUUUAUUACGGCCAUUGGCCCAUAUCAAAAACAAUACAUCAGAAUUUAUCCAUAAACAAUACAAUUUAAACAGUUCCAAGUUAAAACACCCUUAUAAAACCAAUUUUACUUUAGUUAAGUAAACACUAUACACAAUAAGCUCCCUCUAUGUAAACCGCAAUUCCGAUCCAUCAGAUUUUGGGGGUAUACGUCUUAGUUCUGGCACUUAUUGAUGGUUCUUAAGUUUAGCUAAGCUGUCAGAAACAUACAGUGAUCCAUUUCUCCUCUUUUGAAAUAAAACAUUAAUCAGGUAUCUAGCGAUUGCAAGGGAUCUACUUGUAUCUUCGUCGUUUAAUAAGUAUAUUAUUUGGGCUUCCUGAGGACUGUCAGCAAUUCUCGAUAAAUAUGGGGCCAGAAACUUGGACCGUGAAGCCGAAUGUAAUGGACAACAGAAGAUUAUAUGAUAUAACGAUUCUAUAGAUCCGCUUUUACAGUCACAGAGGAGUGAGAUCUGUCCGUUGGAGAGUCUGUUACCCAACACGUUUGAUGGGAAAACAUUGAAUCUAGCCAUUAUAAAGGCAUACCUGUGCGUCACCACAGAUAAGGUAGUUAAGUAAGAUGGAAGUUUCGUUGGUGGAGUUAAGCCAAGGUUUAUCGGCGAACAGGUGCCUCCACCUGUCGCAAUAUUAAAUUGUAAAUCCAUCUCCUCUAAUUUGUGAGUUAUAAUUCUUUUGGCCGAAGUUAAAUCCAAUUUUAAUAGUUCGGAUGGAGAUAGUCCUAGGGACACAAGUUUCCCAUGUAUUAUUUUUGCCCAGGGGCUAGGGAAGUCAUCUCUCCAGAGGCAUUGUAUCAGGUGGAGAUUUGGAAGUUUAUGCCAUAAAGCCAACCAGUAACAGAGGAUGCAUUUCCAUAAUGUGGUUUCUAGAGAUGUAACAUUUAGUUCCAGUCGUAUAGCAGUAUUGCUUACACACCUGGGUAAUUUUAACAACCUUCUUAAAAGCUGGUUUUGGAUUACCUCCAACUGGGUUAGAUUAGCAAAGGACCCCCAUAAUGGGACUGCAUAUGCUAUUGUUGCAAUCACCUUUGCCUUGAAAACUUUUAACACUGAUGGAAUAUGGAAAGCCCCAUCUGAAAAGAAAAACGCAAUAGCGCAUAGGAAAGGGCUUUAGCUCUGUUUAAUACAUAUGCAACAUGGACCUUCCAGCCCAUGUUGUGUUGGAGGAAGACUCCCAAGUACUGAAAUUUAAAGACUUGGUCAAUAGCUUUUCCGUCUAUUCUCCAAUUAUAGGUUUUUCGACUCUUGGUGAAAAUUAGAACUUUGGACUUAACAUGGUUAAUUGUAAGAAAAUUUGAUUUACAGUAAACAUCGAAAAUUUUUAAUGCCCUCCUAAGGCCGACUCUUGAAAAGGAUAGGAUCACUGCGUCGUCUGCGUAGAGUAGAAGGGGGCAACGAUAUUGGGCAAGACGGGGGGCGUGGAUCGUUUCUUGAGCCUCUAUCAGAGGCGCCCUCAUAUCACUUAUAAAUAGAUUGAAAAGGGUCGGAGCAAGGAUACAUCCUUGGCGAACACCUCUAUUGAUAGUUACUGAGUUUGAGAGGUCGCCUGCCGGAGAGAUUCUCACCCUAGCGGCCGAUCCGUCAUGCAGUUUAGUUAUUAGCCACAAAAGUCUUUUGUCUAUUCCCCAUCGGGCUAGUUUUCCCCAAGCAAUCCUCUGGGGAUGCUGUCAAAAGCGGCCUUUAAAUCAAUAAAGGCCGCACAAAGUUGGCCUCUAUUUGGGGAGGAGUAUUUCCGGGCAAGGUGGUAUAAAACUAAGAUCUGAUCAACCGCUGACUGAUUCGGUCUAAAACCAGCCUGUUCAGGCCCAAUCAGGUUGUUCUCUUCGGCCCACUUAGUAAGCUUAGUUAACAAGAACCGUGCAUAUAUUUUCCCGAUUAAUGACAAUAAACUGAUAUUCCUGUAAUUUCCCGGGUCAUCUGUCGAGCCUUUUUAUGAAUUGGAACAAUAAUCGCAUCCUUCCAUAUUCUUGGUACCUUCCCACUGUUGUUUACGGCAUCAAAGGUAGCGGCCAAGAUUUUCGCCCACCAGUCAGCAUGAAGCUUUAUAGCUUCUGCCGGGACUAGAUCAGGACCGGGGGCUUUUCCGAUUUUAAGAUUAGAAAUAAGUCCGUGGAUUUCUUCCGGGUCAGUGGGUGGCCAAAGAGGGAGCUGCUCAUAGACUCCAUCGAUUGUAUUAAUAUUAAGGUCUGGUAAGGCAAAAUAAUUCCUUAGAAAGGAUUCCCAAAUUGGGGCAGGAAUAACUGUUAAGGGGUAUCUUUUAGAUUUUCUGUUAACCAACAGCCAGAAUUUUCGGGAAUUACGGGUACUUGAGGCAGCUAUAAGUGCUUGCCAGCGGUUCAAUUGCCAUUCCUGUUUGGCCUUUUUCUGCACAUAUUUGUAAGCUGAUUUUGCCUGAUAGUACUCCUUGGGAAGCGUAAUCGCCCCUGAGGAUUUGUAAUCAUUAUAAAUAGCACAAAGAUGUUGUUUGGCUUGUUUGCAAUUACGGUUAAACCACGGUGCACCUGUCUUGGGGUGGGCCCAAUUUGCCUGGUGGGUUGGGACAGAAAAGAAUGACGUGAGGUCAUUCAACAGAUUGGCAAAUAGAUUAAUAGUUUGGUCGUGAUCAUAUGAAGUUAUGCCAAGGGCUGAAUAGGUUUGUAUGAUCUCCUGCUGAAAAAAUCAGAAUAUUUUUGAGCCUGCGUUACAGACCACUUUAUACCCUUCACUCGUAAUGCCGUAUUAAUACCCUCUACCUGGUUUUCUGCAUUAGUAUCUAAUUGAGUUGGAUGACCGUGCUCGUCCCCGUGCCAGUCUAGGUCAAACGUAGCAGCAAGUGGAAGGUGAUCACUAUAGUGAAUAUUGCCAAUCUUAAAAGAGAGAGCUUUCGAAAUCAGGUCACUCGAGGCUAAAAG